rnacentral:rRNA from 1 species
GACAGAGGAUGCAAGCGUUAUCCGGAAUGAUUGGGCUAAAGCGUCUGUAGGUGGCUUUUUAAGUCCGCCGUCAAAUCCCAGGGCUCAACCCUGGACAGGCGGUGGAAACUACCAAGCUGGAGUACGGUAGGGGCAGAGGGAAUUUCCGGUGGAGCGGUGAAAUGCGUAGAGAUCGGGAAGAACACCAAAGGCGAAAGCACUUUGCUGGGCCGAAACUGACACUGAUAGACGAAAGCUAGGGAGCAAAUGGG